UUUUUUUUUUUUUUAAUUUGUAAUGUUUAAUCUUGUGAAAGAAACCUCAUAAUCUUUUGAGAGGGGAGUUUUUCUUUAUACCUUUUAUCACUCUCUUAAAUCACCACUUGCUUAUUGAUUGGGAGAUUCAAGGCUGGUCACUCCUAGAAUGUUAAUUCCUUGGAGACAGAUUCUGGAACCAGUCUCACUGCCUCAUCCAUCCUCAGUGCCUAGAACAGUGCCUGCCUGACUCAUGUUCACUUCAGGGAUUCACUUUCUAAAAAGAGGAUUGAAGCCCCAGGUGACUGCCUCCUGCUUCCCCAAGUCUGGCUGCCGGGAAUGUGCCCCAGGCUCCUGGCUCGUGCUCCAGCACCUCCCAAAAUGCCGUCUCGUGAGAGGAACACGCUGGCCUGCCUGUGCAAUGUGUGCGCCAUCUGGGAGUCCCCCACUGCAUCCACCACCGGGCAGAACUGCCAGGGAAGCAGGCCUGCUGGCUCUGUCCCCUGUCCUGGGAAGGGGCAGAAAUGCCCAGGUCCCUGGAGACACCACCCACUUCACCCUCCUGAGAGGGCGUGUGUUACUUUCCCGUGCUUGCCAUAACACAUUACUACAAACUGGGUGGCUGCAAACAACUGAAAUUAUUUUCACAGCUUUGGACGCCAGAAGUCCAAAAUCAAGGUGUUGGCAGGGCCUUGCUCCCUGUGAAGGCUCUAGGGGGACAUCCUCCCUUGCCUCUUGCUACCUUAUGGCAGUUGCCAGCACUCCUUAGCUUCUGGGCUACAUUAGUCCAGUCUCUGCCUCCAGCAUCAUAUGAGGUCUUCCCUCUGUCUGUCCAUUUUCUCUUCUUAUAAGGGCAUCAGUCAUUAGAUUUAGAGCCCACCCUAAUCCAGGAUGACCUUAUCUUAACUAGCUACUUCUGCAAAAAAGCUAUAUCCAAAUAAGGUUGCAGUCUGAGGUUCUGUGUGGACGUGAACUUUGGGGAGCACUACGCAGCCCAGUUCAGACCAUAUGGACGUGGGAGCCGUUCCUUUAUCUACCACGUUUUAGCCGUGUGACCUCGGGCAAGUCACAUCACCGCUUUGUGCCUCUGCUUUUCCACCUGUAAAACAGAAAUAACAGUCAUCAUCGUCAUCAUCAUCAUCGUAAUCCCUGCUGGGAAUGCUGCUGGGCACACAGUGACAGCUGUGCAGUUUGGUCAGAUAAAGUCAGUCAAGUGCCCGUCGCUGCUAUGUAGAGGUAAACUGCAUGGACGGCCAUGUCAUCAAGGACCCCACUGGGGGUGACACAGCAGGGAACAGACUCACAGGGCCAGCCAGGGUGCACAGGGCAGAGCACCCACCCAGGCUGAGGGGGCCAUGGCAGAUGUGAAUAUUCUUUAACUAGGGGGAUCUAGCCAAGGGAAGAGAAGACCAAGGGAAUUUCGGGAGGAGGUAAAGGCAUGUCUAAGGAUCUAGGGGCAGGUAGGGGCCUGGCAUGUUCAGAAAACCUGAAGCAGCUGGGAUAUAGCAAGAGAGGCAGGCAAGGUGGAACCACAGAGGCUGGGCCCCGGUCUUCGCCAGCCCAGCAGUGGAGACAGCCUCCAGCGUUGCUCCUGCCUUUAGUGAGCAAUGAUUCUCUAAACCCCUAGUUGGACAGAAUGACCCAGAGUUCCCUUGAACGGUACGGCUCUCUGUGCAAAUAAGUGAGUGACCUGUGGCAUUCUCGUGAACAGAGUAUAGAUGUUUCUAUGAAAAGGUUACUGAGCAUUUGUCUGCUUUUAUGGAAAAUGUGUAGCGAAAAUUUAUUCCCCAGCUGGGCGUGGUGACUCACUCCUAUAAUCCCAGCACUUUCAGAGGCUGAGGCAGGUGGAUC
rnacentral:lncRNA from 1 species